rnacentral:rRNA from 1 species
CCUACGGGUGGCAGCAGUAGGGAAUAUUGCUCUAUGGGGGAAACCCUGAAGCAGCAACGCCGCGUGGAGGAUGAAGGUUUUCGGAUUGUAAACUCCUUUUGUUAGAGAAGAUAAUGACGGUAUCUAACGAAUAAGCACCGGCGAACUCCGGGCCAGCAGCCGCGGUAAUACGGGGGGUGCAAGCGGUCCUCGGAAUCACGGGGCGUGAAGAGCGCGUAGGCGGGGUAGCAAGUCAGGUGUGAAAGCGUAUGGCUGAACCGUAGAACUGCAUCUGAUCCUGUUACUCUAGAGUAUGGGAGAGGUAGGUGGAAUUCUUGGUGUAGGGGUAAAAUCCGUAGAGAUCAAGAGGAAUACUCAUUGCGAAGGCGACCUGCUAGAACAUAACUGACGCUGAUGCGCGAAAGCGUGGGGAGCAAACAGGAUUAGAUACCCCGGUAGUC